AGAAUCAACGCUGGCGGCGUGCCUAACACAUGCAAGUCGCACGAGAAAGGGGAGCAAUCCCUGAGUAAAGUGGCGCACGGGUGAGUAACACGUGAAUAAUCUACCUCCGAGUGGGGAAUAACUGAGAGAAAUCUUAGCUAAUACCGCAUAACACUUACGAGUCAAAGCAGCAAUGCGCUUGGAGAGGAGUUCGCGGCCGAUUAGUUAGUUGGCGGGGUAAUGGUCCCACCAAGACGAUGAUCGGUA
rnacentral:rRNA from 1 species